GAUCUGGUGGUUUAGUGGUUACAUAUCCACUUUACCUGGCGGGAAAGAGAAGUUAAUUCUUGUGGGUGUCCCUUGUUCGAUUCAAGGUCAGGCCG